UCCCUGGUUGAUUCUGCCAGUAGUCAUAUGCUUGUCUCAAAGAUUAAGCCAUGCAUGUCUAAGUAUAAGCAAUUAUACAGCGAAACUGCGAAUGGCUCAUUAUAUAAGUUAUCGUUUAUUUGAUAGUACCUUACUACUUGGAUAACCGUGGUAAUUCUAGAGCUAAUACAUGCUAAAAAUCCCGACUUCGGAAGGGAUGUAUUUAUUAGAUUAAAAACCAAUGCCCUUCGGGGCUCACUGGUGAUUCAUAAUAACUUCUCGAAUCGCAUGGCCUUGCGCCGGCGAUGGUUCAUUCAAAUUUCUUCCCUAUCAACUUUCGAUGCUAGAGUAGUGUUCUAGCAUGGUUACAACGGGUAACGGAGGGUUAGGGCUCGACCCCGGAGAAGGAGCCUGAGAAACGGCUACUACAUCCAAGGAAGGCAGCAGGCGCGCAAAUUACCCAAUCCCGACACGGGGAGGUAGUGACGAUAAAUACUGAUACAGGGCUCUUUUGGGUCUUGUAAUUGGAAUGAGUACAAUUUAAAUCCCUUAACGAGGAACAAUUGGAGGGCAAGUCUGGUGCCAGCAGCCGCGGUAAUUCCAGCUCCAAUAGCGUAUAUUAAAGUUGUUGUGGUUAAAAAGCUCGUAGUAGAACCUUGGGCCUGGCUGGCCGGUCCGCCUCACCGCGUGCACUGGUCCGGCCGGGCCUUUCCCUCUGUGGAACCGCAUGCCCUUCACUGGGUGUGCCGGGGAAACAGGACUUUUACUUUGAAAAAAUUAGAGUGCUCCAGGCAGGCCUAUGCUCGAAUACAUUAGCAUGGAAUAAUAGAAUAGGACGUGUGGUUCUAUUUUGUUGGUUUCUAGGACCGCCGUAAUGAUUAAUAGGGACAGUCGGGGGCAUCAGUAUUCAAUUGUCAGAGGUGAAAUUCUUGGAUUKAUUGAAUACUAACUACUGCGAAAGCAUUUGCCAAGGAUGUUUUCAUUUAUCAGGAACGAAAGUUAGGGGAUCGAAGACGAUCAGAUACCGUCGUAGUCUUAACCAUAAACUAUGCCGACUAGGGAUSAGGUUUCCUAAUAUCUUUCUUAUAGGUUGUGUGAUUUCUGGUCGUAAUCUUCUAGUCAGGUCAAGACUUGUCCAAGUCCCGCUCAAAA
rnacentral:ncRNA from 2 species